UCGAAAUCACUGUGAAUUUACUUUUCUUACUCCUAUUGAAACCUAACUGAGAACAGGAAAAUGUGGCUGUUUUACUUUCUGUUCUGGACUGCAGUGACAGCCAACGAAGAACCACUCUACAAGAAAGUAGGGGACAAAGUUGUUCUCACACCAUACUCUGAUGGGAAUCCCAUCACCAACAUAACGUGGAAACAUGGAAAUAAUACUGCCAUGGAGUGGAAGGGAAACAAAACUUUCUCCAACCAAAACUUCAAAGAUCGUGGUUCACUG